GACGAACACUGGCGGCGUGCUUAACACAUGCAAGUCGAACGGAAAGGCCCUGCUCUUGUGGGGUGCUCGAGUGGCGAACGGGUGAGUAACACGUGAGUAACCUGCCCUUGACUUUGGGAUAACUUCAGGAAACUGGGGCUAAUACCGGAUAGGAGCUCCUGCUGCAUGGUGGGGGUUGGAAAGUUUCGGCGGUUGGGGAUGGACUCGCGGCUUAUCAGCUUGUUGGUGGGGUAGUGGCUUACCAAGGCUUUGACGGGUAGCCGGCCUGAGAGGGUGACCGGCGACAUUGGGACUGAGAUACGGCCCAGACUCCUACGGGAGGCAGCAGUGGGGAAUAUUGCACAAUGGGCGGAAGCCAGAUGCAGCAACGCCGCGUGCGGGAUGACGGGCUUCGGGUUGUGAACCGCUUUCGCCUGAGACGAAGCGGGAGUGACGGUAAUGGGUAAAGAAGCACCGGCUAACUACGUG
rnacentral:rRNA from 1 species